CAUCGUGAGGUGGAAUCUGAAGGAAGCCUGAGGCAAACACUCGCACUGACGGACAGAAACUUCAUAACAAGGCUGACUUGGCGCGGACGAGCUAACCGAACAUAGUAAAGUCCAAUACUGCCCAGACGCCAUACAGUAAAUGAAGCAGUGACAUGAGUGGAAGGUUG
rnacentral:ncRNA from 1 species